rnacentral:rRNA from 1 species
UACGAAGGGGGCGAGCGUUGUUCGGAAUUACUGGGCGUAAAGGGCGCGCAGGCGGCCCUUGAAGUCAGGCGUGAAAGCCCCGGGCUCAACCUGGGAGGUGCGCUUGAUACUCGAGGGCUUGAGUGCGGGAGAGGAGAGUGGAAUUCCCAGUGUAGAGGUGAAAUUCGUAGAUAUUGGGAAGAACACCAGUGGCGAAGGCGGCUCACUGGCCCGAUACUGACGCUGAGGCACGAAAGCGUGGGGAGCAAACAGG